rnacentral:rRNA from 1 species
UACGAAGGGGGCUAGCGUUGCUCGGAAUCACUGGGCGUAAAGCGCACGUAGGCGGGUCUUUAAGUCAGGGGUGAAAUCCUGGAGCUCAACUCCAGAACUGCCUUUGAUACUGAGGAUCUCGAGUCCGGGAGAGGUGAGUGGAACUCCGAGUGUAGAGGUGAAAUUCGUAGAUAUUCGGUAAGAACACCAGUGGCGAAGGCGGCUCACUGGCCCGGUACUGACGCUGAGGUGCGAAAGCGUGGGGAGCAAAGCAGGAUUAAGAAACCC